rnacentral:sRNA from 1 species
GCCAGGCAAGGUGGCGCACGCCUACGAUCCCAGCAACUUGGGAGGCUGAGGUAGGAGGAUCGUAAGUUUGAGACCAGCCUCAGUGACUUAGCAAGGCCCUAAGCAACUUCGUGAGAUCCUGUCUUGA